UGUGCGGCAAUCUCAAGCCAAUGUUCAAACUCCGACAUUUGUAAGGCUGACUCAGCAGGUUGUCAACGCCGUCGCCAAGCAACCGGCGAAGAACGAUUCCCAAAGUUUUCUGCUGUGUCAUUAUCCCACUUGGCCGGUUUUCGGGGACAGAAAAACAAUGGGAUGAGGGCCAUUCAUUCCGAGAGCUUCAUGCUGGGUGGCCUUUUUCUGCCGCCGCGUGGGUCCAAAGCGAUUGCCGAUCUGGCCCUGGGUAGUAAUGCGCGUAAAUUAUAGCCUGCUGCACUUUGUGCAAAUGUCAAUCCCGAAUCAUGUCAACUUCAUGCCGAUCGAGGCGGGGGUGGCGGAACGUUAAAACAAUGGGGGCCGUGCCAUAAGCGCCCAUUGUAAUUUCAGCACAAAGCGCUUCUCCGAAUCUAAGGCACUUUGGAACACAUUCAUUCAUUUCGGUCUGAAUAGCGCACCGCCUCUUUAAUUUGACUUAAAAGGGUUUGAUAAGCCGCCCUUUCCCCUCAAAGCAAAGCAGGGAGAAAAAACGAGAAAAACAAGAAGUGGAAACUGAUAUUUCUAAGCUAUGCAACGGAAUUUAGGAAGCUCGGAAAAGCUCACCCAAGAAUGUCCCGAAGAAACCUAAGGCGAGGAAGCUGGAGAUGACAAAGAGGGAGCCCACGGCCACGAAGGCCAUGCCGACGUAGUAGCCAAGGAGACCAUCCAGAACCUCCAGCUUGGGCUGGCUCUUCAUGGCUUCUGUGAAACUGCGGAGGAAAGGGAAGACGGAAGGAAUUCAGAAUUCAAAAAGUGUGGCGGAGUGGUAGUGGCAGUGAACCCGCUGGGUGACUUCAGGCAUGUCACACUCUCUCAGCCCUGAGCCUGAAACAACUUGAAGGCACGCAACAGGAACAAACUGUUGUCUGUCCCACCAACAGUCUGGGAAGGUCCCUGUAUUUAAAAAGUGUGAGGACCGGAUAUAAUGCCUUAUAUGGAGCCCCGGUGGCACAGUGUGCUAAAGCGCUGACCUGCUGAACUUGCAGACCGAAAGGUCACAGGUUCGAAUCCGGGAAGCGGAGUGAGCGCCCGCUGUCAGCUCCAGCUUCCGCCAACCUAGCAGUUUGAAAAUGUAUUUAUUUAUUUACAGUAUUUAUAUUCUGCCUUUCUUUCUCACCCCUUAGGGGACUCAGGGCGGAUUACAAUGAACAUAUGUGGCAAACAUUCAAUGCCAUCAGACAAACAACAUACAGACACACACAGAGGAAUUUAACAUUUCCAGCUUCACGAUUCCGGCCACAGGGGGAGCUGUUGCUUCACCCUCCACUAGUGACUGUACUUCCUCAUUCCUUUCUGGCAUGUUGCUGGCGGAUCUGAUUUAUAUAUUGUAAUUUUAUAUUGUAUUUAAUAGUUUAAAGCACUGAGCUGGAGACCGAAAGGUCCCAGGUUCAAAUCCCGGGAGCGGCGUGAGCGGCCACUGUUAGCUCCAGCUCCUGCCAACCUAGCAGUUCGAAAACAUGCCAAUGUGAGUAGAUCAAUAGGUACCGCUCCGGCGGGAAGGUAACGGCGCUCCAGGCAGUUAUGCCAGUGGCCACAUGACCUUGGAGGUGUCUACGGACAACGCCGGCUCUUCGGCUUAGAAAUGGAGAUGAGCACCAACCCCCAGAGUCAGACACGACUGGACUUAACGUCAGGGGAAACCUUUACUUUACCUUUAUUUAAUAGUUUUAAUGGAUUUUAUGUAUUGUUUGAUAUUGUUUUUGUAUGGGCAUCAAAUUGUUGCCAUUGUUGUAAGUCGCCCCGAGUCCCUUCAGGUGAGAAGGGCGGGAUAUAAAUGUUGGAAUUAAAUAAUUUUAUGGUGGUGUAAAUUAGUUAAAUUAGCCUCCCGCAUAAAGCGUACCUAAAUUUUCUACUUGACAGAUGCAACUGUCUUUCGGGCUGCAUAGGUCAACAGCAAGCUGGGUUAUUUAAUGGUCGGGUGCUAACCCGAUCCGGGCUUCGAACUCAUGACCUCUCGGUCAGUAGUGAUUUAUUGCAGCUGGUUACUAGCCAGCUGCACCACAUCCUGCCACAAACAUGCAAAUGUGAGUAGAUCAAUAGGUACCGCUCUGGCGGGAAGGUAACGGCGCUCCAUGCCGUCAUGCCGGUCACAUGACCUUGGAGGUGUCUAUGGACAAUGCCGGCUCUUCAGCUUAGAAAUGGAGAUGGGCACCAACCCCCAGAGUCGUGCACGACUGGACUUACCUUUUCCAUUGACCUAUGGCAGUGUAGAUGUGAUGUUAGGGUGCCUCUGCACUGUAGAAUGAAUGCAGUUUGACAACACUUGGACCAUUAUGGCUCAAUGUUAUGAAGCCAUAAGAGUUGUAAUUUUAUAAAACUUUCAAAGCGUACAAACUACAACUUCCAGGAUUCCACCGCACCGAGCCGUGGCAGUUCAAAUGGUGUCAAACUGCACUAAUUUAACAGUGCAGAUGCACCCAUGGUUGAUUAAAUGGAGAUCUGAAAUGAGUUUGCAACUUUGCUGUUGGCACCUUCUCGCUCACUCUUAUUUUCUUUGCGCCUCGACACUUGUGCAAAUAAGGCAUUCAAUCCCUUUGCCGCCCGAAUUUCAGUUACUCGGAAGAAUAAAAUUGUUUGCUGAUGGUAAUGGACCAUGGAAAUGGGCCUUUUUCUCCCUGGAGAGAGUGGCAACGCUUAUGUUGCAGACACCAUAGUUUCCAACAUAGCAUUUCUAUUUGUAUAAUGCACGAACUCAAGUCACCUUUGCUAGCGUUUGCAGCUCUGGGACAUAACAAAGAGGAUUGAUUUCUUUGGAUGACAUAACUCCAAUAUCUGUAUUUUUUUUAAAAAAAAGGUUCGCCAUCAUUUAUCACACCCAUCAACACCCAUCUUGUCUUGUUCCAAGUAUUUUCUAUUUACAGUAAAUUGGGUCCUUUGGAUGGAUUUUAGGAAUUGCAAAGAGUUUUGCAACAGGCUAAAGAAACUCAAGGCCACACAUUCAGUUGCAUGUCCUUUAUUUCUAACACAAAAGUAAUAUCUGUGACACAAAGCACUGUGCCCGGAUAAAAUUCAGGAUAGCAAUGUGUUGUAUGCAUUGGGUGGCCCUUGAAGACUGUACAGGAAUUCGAAUAGAAAUGGCCGGGAUGCAUCUACAACGCAGAAUUAAAGACUAUAUUUUGUAUUUUAUUUUAUUUUUACCUACUUUAUGUUUUAAUGGGCUUUUAUGCUUAAUGUAAUGUAUUGUUUGCAUAAUGUGAUUUUACUGUGUUUUAUUCUUUGUAAUAUGUUUUAAUUGUUGUACUUGUUUACUGUUUUCGGGCCGUUGUCCCGUGUUAGCCGCCCCGAGUGCCUGCAGGGAGAUGGUGGCGGGGUAGAAAAAUAAAGGUACUUACUGUAA